rnacentral:rRNA from 1 species
AGCGAACGCUGGCGGCAUGCUUAACACAUGCAAGUCGCACGGUGAAAGCGGGAGCUUGCUCCUGCUGGAUCAGUGGCGAACGGGUGAGUAACACGUGAGCAAUCUGCCCCGAACUCUGGGAUAAGCGCUGGAAACGGCGUCUAAUACCGGAUACGACGCGCGACGGCAUCGUCUGCGCGUGGAAAGAACUUCGGUUCGGGAUGAGCUCGCGGCCUAUCAGCGUGUUGGUGAGGAAACGGCUAACCAAGGCGACGACGGGUAGCCGGCCUAGAGGAGGGACCGGCCACACUGGUCCUGCGGCACGACCCAGACUCCAACGGGAGGGAACAGUCGGGAAUAUUGCGCAAUGGGCGCAAGCCAGAUGCAGCAACGUCGCGGUUGGGAAGACGUCCUUCGGGUUGUAAACGUUUAUUAGCAGGGAAGAAGCGAAAGUGACGGUACCUGCAGAAAAAGCUCCGGCUAACUACGUGCCAGCCGCCGCCGUAAAAC